UACGGAAGGCAGCAGUGGGGAAUAUUGCACAAUGGGCGAAAGCCUGAUGCAGCUAUGCCGCGUGUAUGAAGAAGGCCUUAGGGUUGUAAAGUACUUUCAUCGGGGAGGAAAAAACAAAACUAAUAAUUUUAUUUCUUGACGUUACCCGAAAAAGAAGCACCGGCUAACUCCGUGCCAGCAGCCGCGGUAAUACGGAGGGUGCUAGCGUUAAUCAGAAUUACUGGGCGUAAAGAGCACGUAGGUGGUUUUUUAAAGUCAGAUGUGAAAUCCCUGGGCUUAACCUAGGAACUGCAUUUUGAAACUGAAAUACUAGAGUAUCGUAGAGGGAGGUAGAAUUCUAGGUGUAGCGGUGAAAUGCGUAGAUAUCUGGAGGAAUACCUGUGGCGAAAGCGGCCUCCUAAACGAAUACUGACACUGAGGUGCGAAAGCGUGGGGAGCAAACAGGGAUUUAGAUACC
rnacentral:rRNA from 1 species